ensembl:lncRNA
GGCUGUUAUGCUAGUUGGAAAUUCCCAAUCUGGUUUCUGCAGCAAUAAAGGGCCCCAAGUGUAGAUAUUGAGUCAUGCACCCAGUUGUGAUAUUCAAGGCCUUUACUAUAAGCAGUCUUGAAAAUGUGAUAAUUAUUUUAUUUAAUAAGUGCUAGUAUACAUAUAUAUGUGUGAAUAUUCCUACCUAAAUAAAUGGGAUCGUGUACUCGUACAAGGAUUUGGAAGACUGUCCAUAUAACUUAAUGUUCCAACUCAUUCAGGGUUCACUUAAAAAACAGAUUUAUUAAGGAACAAAUGAGCUAAUACAAUUUUUUUUAAGUUACUGUAAUCACUCUUAAAGCACAUUAUGCCAUAUGAUGAGAUCCUUUGAUAGCAAAUACUGAUAGCAUAUCCAUGUGCUCUUUGUUGCAGCUUUGCAUUACUCUCAAAACGUGUUUCCCCACAGUCUGUAGAAGCAGUGAAGUUAUAAUAUUGGCUCUGGUUCUACAUUCUUACCAGUCAAGAUCAUUCACUGAUUCCUGGAUGUCAGGAUCAAUGGUGGUGGCCAUAUGGCUUUGGAAUGAUCUGUUGUCUUUUCCGUAAUGGCACUGUGGCUUUGUGUUUCCCCAGCAGUGAUUAAUAGGCACAGACAUGCGUUCUGCACAUGUUGAUAGGUUUAGAUGAACUUAGAAUUUUUGUCUUUCUUCUCUUCUCUUUACUUUUUUUUUUCUUUUUCCUUUUUCAUGGCAGGGAGCAGGGGGAGGAGGAGUGAUUCUGCUCUGAGAAAGAAAGAACAAGGUCUUUAAUGAAUAUUCACUUCUCAGGGACAUGAUAUGAUUCAGUCAACGUGGCUAGAUGACAGAACCCAUCUAGAUCCUCAGGGAUAAUUACGACAGAAGGACUAGCUAAGAACCAGUCACAACAGGCAAUUCUACGCUGAAGAAGAACUGCUACCUUCUAAUACCUCUUCCUACCAAACCUUGGAAACCAGGCGCCAGGCGUUCAACACAGAGGUAACCCUCUGCUCCCAUCCGUACUAGCUUCAAAACUGAGGAGUUAUCACAGUGGGCAGAGCAGGUUUGCUUUUCCCAUCCCUGUGAAAAUCUCCUUAGAAGCACAGCAUAUCCCAAGCCUUCUUUCUGAAGGGCACAGAAAAGACAGGUGAAUGAAUUUAUUGGAUGUCUUGGACAACUCCUGUAGAAGGCGUGCAGUGAGUACCUGAGGUUCCUUCAUCGUGAAAUUUAUGUUGCAGCAGAUUAGACAGAAGAUUGGACAUCCUCUGAGGUGUUAAUGAUCUCCUCUAGCAGAUUUCCCAUGGAAGGAACUCCCAAGUGUUUGAGUGUUUUUGUCCAAAUGUGGUCCAUAUCAGUUCUGCCUCCUCAAAGUCCUCUUAGCCCAAACUGAGCUUGUAGUCAACUCAGACCAUACCAACCAGCUGCUUCCCUCCCCCCCUUCCCCUCCCCCCCGACCCCACCCCAGUUUUGCAUAGGUUUUGCAUAGGGAAAAACAGGAUGAAAUCCAUGUAAUAAGAGAAAUGUCUUCUACAAAUAUACAUGAGGAACAAAAGGAACUUCUGUAAGUCUAUUACUUGAUGUUGAUGGUUUAAAGUGCUAGUAAUGAGACGUUAUGAGACAGAUGCAUUCAAUAAGUAUUUCUGUUCUGGUGGAUCAAAGCUGGAAGGAAGUAUGAAUACAUUAUGAAGCUGAUGAAAUGUUUUCUGGUCUUACAGUAAAAUGGGUGAAUGCAAGUCAACUCAGAUCUGUGUCAGCAAGGCUCUAUAAAAUGGCACCGAGUCUUCUUAAGGCAGCAACUCAGGAAGUUGUACUUUCUCUAGGCAGGUAAUGAAUGCUGAGCUUGUACCCAGAGGUCAGAGGUAUGACCCAAUUAAUAGUAAGCUGGUUGGCCUAGCUUACUACUGGUCUUGGGAUCAGCAUGUAGGAAAUGGCUGAUACUGAAGACAAAAGUAAAAUCUGUUCCAAUUAAUUUAACCUUAGUGGAAUUUGAGCUUGUCAAGUCAUCCUAGUACCUCUAGUUGAAAAAACACUUCAAGAUCAGAACUGUGAUGAGUUAGUCACCUGACUGUAAAUUUUUUUAAUAUACCAUUUUUAGAAGACGCUACUUGAUUUCAACAAAGAUAUCUUAUGGGCAAUUAUCAGUGGGGAAGUCUUUCCAGAAGGGAAUCACUCAUUUCUCCUUUCCACCCAAUACAAUCUGUUUUUAAAUCACAAAUAACACAUGAACAACUGCAAAUGCACUUUUAAGAUAGUACGAAAUGUGAAAAAAUAAAGAUGACAGUGCUUUUGUUUGAAAGUGAUCAGACUCACUUCAUAACCUCGGUUCAACCAAAUGCAACCAAAACAGUUCGUCCUUAGAAACAAGAGAGCAUGAACUGUUUUUACAGGAUUGGGUACUGUAUCACAGAAAGCUUGAAAAGGUCUAUGGGGAUUGUCACAUGUAAUCAACUGUGCAUGAACUCCUACUAUAAUCUCAUUAUUAAAACAGUUACAGUGGUCACUGGAAGUACAGAGAUGGGGGCUGGGAUUGGGGAUGCAGUAUUCUGUCUGUGUAAGGAAGAAAUAGGGCCACUUUUGCAGUGGCUGUUGAAGUGGAUAGAGGAGCCAAGGGAGAAAUAGUUAAAGGAUCAGGACCUUCACAUAGGACACAUUUAUUCCAUGAUUAUUUCAUGAUGGAUUACCCCAGAAAAUAGCUUCCAAAAGUUUUUCCAUGAAACAGCAGAUCAUGCAGCUCCUCUGCUGGACCCUCCCUUAAGUCAUGUUUUCUGGAUUAUGUUCCAGAGGAAAUCAGUAGGGGUUGCAGCUUUCUGAGGUGAGUUUAGUGUUGGAUACCUGCCUAUGUGCUGUGACACGCUGCCUUGGCUAAUAAAUCGUGACCUCUGUGGUUAUAUCGGUCAAAUGCUUUCUCAGCCAGAGCAAUUUCCAGCAAAUCAGUGGGCUCCUUUCACAGUGCCCAUCUGACAAGCACGGGGUAGCGCACAGAUGGUUUAGAUAUAAAAAAGAAUGUUGCAUCAGUACUGUAUGUGUGAAAUGUUUCAAUUAUUCCUAAAAUAUUUUUAACGUGUUCCAGAUUUAUCAGGCAAAAUGUUUAGGAAGUAAUUGGAGUUUAUUCUGUUUUUAAUUUUGGUAUAGUAUAUUAUAAUAAACACAUGUUCAAAAUACAUUUUAGGUAUCACCAAAUAUUUAUAAAAUGUGUAUAGGUGGAAAUCCCAAGGUCACUACAGUAGCUUUAUUUUGCCAGUCUGUUUACAAGGAGAUGAGUCAUUAAAACCUAUGGCUGUUUCUAUCUGUACCGAGAAUCCUUCUCCUGCAGGCAGUGGAUAACCUAUUGGUUUUACAUAUUCAUGUAAGAUUAAGCUUUCUCUGAUUGCAGAGGUUGAAUUUAACCCUCCCUCAUAUUAUUUGUAAUAAUAAAAACUUCUAGUGGUAUUUCCAAGUGGACAUAUAUGUCUCAUAUUUAACAUCUGAUCAUAUUACCGUCAUUUUCCACUAUAACUAAAAGAUGAAUUAAAUAAAUGAGUAUCCCAAGCAAUUCUGUUUAGGAAAUCAGAUGAAAGAUGGUGUCAUACUUCUUGAAACACACAGUGGGCUUUUGCAAUUAGAACUAAUUGGUAUGUUGUGUGCAUCACUACCUGCCUUAAGAAAUACUGACGAAGCUUCGGGGUGGGAUGGGUGUUCUAUGGGGCUGGGGGUGAGACUGGGGGCGGGGGGGAUCUGUGGGACUGGGAGGUGGAAUUGUUCUACUAGGGAACACUGUUCCAUUUGUUUUAAAACAAAGAUUGACUGUUUGCUUUUGAUCUCCUUCUUGUCCUUGGAGAUUUCAGGUGUGGAAAAAGGCACACAUUUUCCUAGCCUGAAGAGUAAAAUAUUGCCCUCCACAAUUCUCAUUACCUUAAGUGAACUCAGUUUAUAUUUUUUGUUGUUGUUUUAUUUUUCUUUAUCCAAAGUUUAUUCAAAGUAUUCAUUAAGAAAAUCUCGAUGUAGAAACACCUUGCAUUAACCAAAGCAAAGUUGGUUUCAGUGCCCAAGACCAAGAUGCCUAAUCUCCUCCUUGCCCCAGCUGUUAGGGACAAGCAUGUUUUCCGUUUCAGCUCACAGAACAGUUGCAGUGUUGGGGGGAUGAGAAAACAGACAUGGGUUGAUCUGAGAGCAAAGAUUUGUGGUGGUAGAGCAAGACUGGCAAAGGAGGAGCCAGUGCCAUAUACAGAAGUAGCUGCAAACCCAAGAUUCCCUCAAAACGUGAUGACAUACAUGUGUAGACAUGUACUGUUUCAGCAGGUAUUGUGGUGCCCCAAAGAAACAUUUUGAAAGAUGAAAGCAUUGGGGAUUUUUGUUUUCACUGUUUUUCCUCACUUUUUUUAAGUAAAAAUGUUAAAUUCAGCUCUGUUAGAAGAUUAAGCUCAAUCCCAAACAAAAUCUAGACAUCUAGGCUGUACUGACUCCUGCUGCUGUCUUAGGAAAUAUUGACUUUUCUGAAAGAAAAACUAUUUCCUCAAUUCUAAUUUUCAUUAAAAACAUACUGUAGUACAGAUGCUGUUUUGCAAUAUUCUUUUAAUCUCUGUGGAUUUAUUUUAUGUGUUUACUCCAACAGAAAAUUCUUAUUAGCAACGAUUCUUCAACUCUUUCUCUUACCUCAGUGGUGUGGCUGACCCCUCUGUAUGCCUCAUCUGAAGGCUCACCAUCCACUGACAGUAAUCUGAGGAGGUCCAGGGACAGCAAAUGAUGGCUGAACUUGAUGAUCACAGGGGUCUUUUCCAACACCAAUGAUUCUAUAAUUUGAAUGACUUUUGACAUUGUAAGGCUGUUACACUUGUGAUCACAAAUACCUUAUGUCCACGAUAACAUUGGAAAUCUUGUUCAUUUUGCACCACUUCCAGAAAACAGCAAGAAGCUGUAUAAAAGUAUUUCAAAAGGAAGGAGCUGGUGAAGCAAGACAGCAAUUUGGUUUAUUUAUCAGUGUUAGUAAUUCCAUUCCAGCCCAUGAAGCCAGCAAGUAUGGUUCAUAUUGAGAAUAUCUAUGUGAAAAGUAAUGGCAAAUUAUGCAAAUAAAUUGGCUACAAUAAGACUUUUUCACUCUUUUUUUUUUUCAGUAGUUUAUCAUGCUGCAGUCUAAUCAAGAUAUGGUAAAGGGUGGUACAGACAUUAUUCAGGAACUUAAUGCCACAUAAACCUAAGCAAUUCAUUUUUCUAACAUUUUUAAUUGUCUGCAGAUAUACAGAUAGAGACUAACUGUAGUAAGUCCACAUUAAAUUCAUUUUAAACAAAUUUCAAGCCUAAUUUAAGAAAAUCAUGAUCUCCACUCACACUGAAGUGUGGUUUCACUUUGACAUCAGCAAAUCUAUACUGCUUGGAAAGAAAAGCUGUUUCAAGGGCUGAGCUGCUAGUUGGAACUCAGGAAUCCUGACACCACUCCAAGCCUCACAAACACGGGACCUUGGAGAUGUCAUUGGGAAUGGAACUCACCCAAAUGCACAAACCAAAAACCCAGGUAGCUGAGUUGGGUCUGGGUAUCCUCAGCAGUUAAAUGGAAAGAGAGUGACUCCUCUCAGGUUGAGAUUGGAUUCCUCGUUUUCAGAGGGUGUAAAUUAGUGUUGUGUACCUUGACUUCAGCAAGGCUUUUGUUGUUUCUCCCACAAUAUCCUUGUAAUGAAGCUUAGUAAGUGUCAGAUAGUUAAGUGGACAGUGAGGUGGAUUGAGACCUGCCUGACUGGCAGAGCUCAGGUUGUUACAAUCAACAGUGCAGAAUCUAGUUGGAGGUCUGUAACUAGCAGUGUUUCCCAGGGGUUGGUGCUGGGUCAGGUCUUGUUCAACAUCUUCAUCAAUGACCUGAAUAAACACUCAGCAAGUUUGCUGAUAAUACUAAACUGGGAGGAGUGGCUGACACACCAGAAGGCUGUGCUGCCAUUCAGAGUCCUGGACAGGUUGGAGAGUUGGGUGGAGAGGAACCUGAUGAGGUUCAUCAAGGGAAAGUGCAGAGUACUACAGAGGGGGACAAAUAACUGUGUGCAUCUGUACAGGUUAGGGUCUGACCUACUGGAAGGGAUCUCUGCAGAGAAGGACCUGGGUGUUCUGGUGGACAACAGGUUGGCCAUGAACCAGCAGUGUGCCCUCGUGGCCCUGUUGAGGCCACACAUGGAGUGCUGGAUCCAGUUCUGGGCUCCACAGUUCAAGAAAGAUGGAACUUCUAGACAGAGUCCAGCAAAGGGUCACAAAGAUGACAGGGAGCCUGGAGCAUCUUCCAUAUGAGGAAAGGCUGAGAGAUCUGUAGAAGAGAAGACUGAGAGAGGAUCACCUAACUUCAUAAAUAUCUGAAGUGUGGGAGUCAAAUGGAUGAGGCUAGGCUCUUUUCAGGACAGACAGAACAAGGGGUAAUGAGCAAAAACUGCAACAUGGGAGGUUCCAUAUAAACAUGAAGAAGAACUUAAUUGCUAUGAGGACGACAGAGCACUGGAAUAGGCUGCCCAGAGAAGAUGUGGAAUUUCCUUCUCUGGAGAUCUUCAAAACCUGCCUUCAAAACCUUCCUUACAUUCAAAACUGAAUGUAAGGAACCUGCUUCAGCAGGGGGGUUGAACUCGAUCCCUUCCAACCUUUAUGAUUCUGUGAUUCUGUGUAACAUACACAUGCACUGGACUCACUGCCGUGCUGCAUAACUGUAACUGUAAGUGGAAUCUCCCUGCACCUUGUCUAUGAAGCAUUGGUAACAACACACACUUUGUCUCAGUCACAUUGUCGGAAGGAAGGUGCUGAAAGUUGUGACACUCUCAGCAUGGACCUUCCCUGAGGUGACACCAAGACAUCUGGACUGGCCUCAGAGCCAGAGCAGCCCCUCUGUGUGGCCCUGUGAAAAGGCCAACUUGAUCACCUGAGUGCUGUGGGACCUCAGGAAUGCAGGCAGGUGCCUGCUGCAGGGCUGUGUCUCACAGACAUGCCGAUGUGCCCCAAGCCAGUGCUGGUAUCUCUAACUCCACAGGAGAGACAGGCACACCAGGAGUUUUCAGGGUUAAUUCCUGAGCCAUCCUUUUUGCAAGUGGCUUAAUCCUGCACCAAACACAUCUUGGUGGCACUUGCACUGCUGCUUCAGAGUCCCAUGAGAGGAUAAGGACAGUCUCAGCUUGCUCCCGAUGCUGAGGGUUGCACUCAUGCCUGCAGGAGCACUUUUCUGCCUGUAUGUAGGGUUUGAAAGAAGCAGUGGCUUUAUUGUCCCCAAAUCAAAGCUGCAUCUAAAUAGCUCUGACAAUAGAAACAAUUUAUGCGCAUAAACAUUAGUUGCAUGCUUUCUAAUUACAAGAUCAGGCACUUCAUACAGCCAUUACUGUAAUACUUCUAAACAUCCAUGAGUUUACUAACUGAACCCUGCUGAGGCUCACAUUAACACUUAGUAAAUGGACUAUUCAGAAAAUGGCAUGGUAAGAGUUACACCUCUAAGUAAUAUUCUAUAGAGCUGCAUACAAAUUGUAACCACAUUUUCAUAAGUGAUAAAAUGUUUUAUCCUCUUUUGAAAAAUAAAUGCCAUAAAAGCCAAAUGCAGUUCAUAAUGACAAAGGCAAGGAAGGAUACAGCUAGGCAGCGUUCAAGAGGUUUGGAAUUCACAUUGUUGAGUUGGAUGUAAUGUAGAAUCUGGGCACCUAAAUACCCUUGUGGGUCUGGCAAGAAGUUCUUGGCCACAAAGUAUGGGCAGGGAAAUGGAAGAAAAUUCAGAGUUGCUAAUGUGGUUCUACUUUAAGGACUAGCUAAGUGAAACUGGCACCUGUAUGAUGUUAGUGAGACUCCUGAGCUUAUUCCAUACGCCUUGCUUUCUUAAGUGAUGAAAAACCCUUUUUUUGAGGCUGGUUCAUCAGUAAGAAAAGGAUGUCCCAGGUCCCAGUGUACUUCACUCAUGUGUCCCCUUUCUCUUGCAUGGCUGUGACAGAACUUCAUUCCUUCUGUAAAGCCUUUAUCCAUGUUAAUACAAACUAGUGGGAAAAAAAAAAAAAAAAAGGAAUUUUUUGAAAAGAAAAAAAAUGAUCUGUUUUUUCAAACAAAAGAUUUUGGGAGAAAAAAUGUUUUACUGAGCAAACCACCUUAAAAAAACACAAGUCAUGUAACUAAGAAAAGAUGGAGAGAGACAUUGAAAAGUUAGGAAAACCCAAGCAUUCCCUAUUUUCCACUUUGAUAUAUUCCAAAAGAUUAAAAAUCUCAAGUCAGAUAAGUAAGGUACCCUGACGUAUGGCUUUGAUUAAAAAAGAACAUUCCAAAAUAGAGGAAGAAAUAGAAAGUUUCUUCAUGCAUGCGUCCCCACUUUAGGUUGCUGCUGUAUGAAAGGAGAAGACAGAAAGCAAAACCAGAAAAAAAAAUGUUAUAAGACCUCUUCCUGAAAAAACACUAGAAAUGAUUGUUUCUUUUUCUAGAAAAAGAGUGCAUGUCCUCUUAGUCAUAAUUAAAAUAGGCGAAUUUGGAAGGAAUAUAAAUGUUUCUGCUACAGGACGUAUCAACAGAUAAAUAGUUAAAUGGACAAUUUGUGAACAAUUAGCCUGUAGUUUUCCUGCUUGCAAUGUUUCUUCCAUUCUCCAAAAUCACUGCUACUGCCCAAUCAGGAGGAGCUUUUCUGGCCCAAAAGGGUGGGCUGAACCCUUUUUUUGGAUGAAGCAGCUCGCAUACUUUGGCAAAUGCCUACACUAGAAAAUGAAAACCACCCCUAGAACUCUCCAGUUCCUAAAGUUUCUUUGCUCCUAGUUUAAUCCCUUCCCACAACUGUCCCUGAAAGCACAGCAUGAGUUUGUCCUUUUCUAUUGACAAACAGCAAUGGGGCUGAGUAGACGUGCCUACUCCAAAACCUACAUUACAUGAACAACCUCUACAAGAUUUUAGUCAUACCCUUCACAUCUGAGCUCAAAAUAAUUCUUUCUCCAUUUCUCCAAAACAAUUGUAGGCCACAUGGCAAGUAGAAAAUAAAUAACUCCAUCUUACCACUAACCCUCCUUUUUGGCUAAAUGGAUGACUGCAAUUGCACAGCCUGCAGAUUUUCAAAGCAUUGUGCUUCUCGAAGCUGGCGAGCAGGAGACGAAUAUAGUGCUGUGAGAUGCCUUUACAUAUCUCUACAGCAUUUCUACUGAAGGGAGUUAUAGCAGCUGCUCCUUUAGAGAGGGAACUUGCGUCUUGGAGCUGCUCAAGUGGGAAACAAUUCCCAGGCCAGCCCUGCCAUGACGCUGUGGGCGAUCGCCAAUCGAUUCCAGGUGCAGCUCACCAAGUACAGCAUGUCCCAGAUUUCUCAUGGAUGAGCUGGUGCCAUUCUGAGACUUUCCACCGCUUGAACAAAGCUAAAAGUUAGCUUUUCUACAGAGAGUUGUGCUUACACAUGGGAACAGUAAUUUUGUCACCAGUCUCAAUAUGCUUAGGCAUCUGAUCUACCCUCGUGUUUAUGAUUCUUCCCAUCUUUCAUUUUGAUUUUAUAUCCUCAUCCCCGUGGGAGUCUUUUGCAAAAUAUUUUAUAGGCAGAGGGAUUAUAGAACGUGGUGCCAAUGAAUAAGGCAGCAUCCAGAAUCAGCCUGUCAUUGCAACAUAUUGUGUGUUUCAAGAAAGAGCUCCACCACCAGCACUGCAAAGGCAACUUCUGCAGGGGGGCUGUGAGAGAAGGUGCAAAGAAAAUGAAGCCACUUUAUUUCCAGUGGUUCCCUGCGUCAGGCAAAGAGGCAAUGGGCACAAACUGGAGCACAGGAGGUUCCCUCUGAACACCAGGCAGCACUUUUUUUCUCUGUGUUCACUGAAAACUGGCACAGGGUGCCCAGAGGAGCUGUGUGAACCUCUUCCUUGGAGAUCUCCAAAAGCUGCCUGGACAUGGGUCUGGGCACCCUACUGUGGGUGCCCCUGUUGGGCAGGGGUUGGGCCAGGUGGACCCAGAGGUCCCUUCCAACCUCAGCCAUUCAAUGAAUCUGUGCCCUGUCACAAGCCUGUUUGAUCAUCCUCAUCACUGGUUAGGACCGCACUGUUUUGUCUUCUCCUCUUGUUCCAGGCUCCUGGCUCAUGUAUGUAACAGUAAAACAAACAUGACCUCAAUCCCUAGCAUGGGAUAGUGCAGCCUGAGCAGUUCCUUUGUUCUCCUCAUGAGGCUUUUUCUGGUGCCAACCCAACCUUUCCAAAGGUAGGGCCAGGAUCUUCUUGCAGGAAAACCAAGGCCAGGAGUUGCUGCUGGUAGACAGCAGGAACAAAGGUGCCCUUUUUGGGGCAAGGACAAGAGUGUGUCUGCAUGUGCACUGUGACAGGCAGUUGCUCUUGAAGCAAAGGGUCCAUACGUUGUUCCAUAUGGUACUACAAAUUUCAGAUGCAUGCCAGUAAGUUAGAGAUGGCCUCUCUCAAAAACAUAUUGUGGUGUAGUAACUAGAGAAUUUUCUCCAUAACAGGAACCUGGCAGUACAACCCAUUGACCCAGGACGAGUGGUUUUUUUAAGUGCAUUUUGUCUCACCUCCAGUGCCAACUGCAGACAUACUUUCUGACAACCUGAAAAAGAUUACUUUAACCAGGAAAAAAAAAUAAGGGAUGUGAGAGCAGAGAAAGAAGUGCAGCUUUUCUUGUGCUGUGACCAUUUCUUAACUUUGAGUGAAAAAGCACUUUCAAUUUUCCCAUGGUAUUAGUCUAAUUUGUCUGAAGAUCUGUUUGUGAUUUGUGGAAGAUGUUCGUUAAAGCUAAUGUAAAAGGUAAUACUGGGAUUUAAUCCUCAGGGCUUUAGCAAAUAACCACUAUCUUUUAAUAGGAAAUGGGUGGCAUGUUGGUUGUCAACUCUAAUUUCUCCUCUAGUCUGAAAUCUUAUCCAUACUUUUUCUAUUACCCAAUACUACUAACUUCUACAGAAACACAGUAUCUGCUUUUUGCGCAGGACAAAUGCAAAACGUCAAACCUUCAGCUGAGGUUCCUCAUCUUUUAGAAGAGCAUCUGGUAAAGCAUCAAAGCAGAGGACAAAGUUAACAUUUGAAAAGGCACUCUCAGAACACCCAUUGCUCCUGUGGUUUGUGCAUUAUACUAUUUUCCAAGAGAUCUGGAUUUGAUGUCUUGUCCUUUGCUUUCUGGGGUGAGGAAAGCUCUGAGCCCUUUGAGAGUGGUGAGGGGCAUUCAAUAAGGAAAGAAGGGACCUACGGCGAAGAUCAAAACACCAAAACAAUACACAGAAAAAACAAGAGAGAGCCAAGAAGACUCAAUCCUACGGUACCUAACAAUAAUUUUUUAAGGCAUGAGUUUGUCCAAUGUGUUGUUUAUUCAUCCAAUUUAUUAUAAUGAUGAACAGCUUUAAAAUUGGAGUAGAACGCUAAUUCAUACUUUAUGUAUAAAAGAAAUGAUAGGCAGCUGUGAACCAGAGGGGCACUGGGGGAGGUCUCAGACUGUACAAGCAAAGGAAUAUGACUUGGUGUCUCUGUUAGCAAUGAGAAGUUAUAUAUUGCAAAUUAAGUAGUUCUUCCUACUACUUAACGAAAGCUGAGCACAUGUGACUGCUAUUGUCAUGCCAUAAUCAAUGUGAUGUGAAUUUGGCCUGUACUUACACUGAGCUGGAGGAGUUUUUCAGUGCUUUUGAGAACAGGAAUAGGAGUGGACUGAAGCUUCUCACUAGUCCUAAACCAGGCAACCAGCAGGCACAUUGGCUCAGAGGCAUCGUAAGAAGCAGAAAAAAAAUGAAGGCUAUUAAUGUCACAGCACUAUUGAAAUGAAAUAGUAGUAUGGAUCUACUGACCCUCAGAGGACCAGCCAAAGGCAGAGUGGUAAAUCUUUGCCUUUUAGCCCAAGAAUGGCAAGUUGCUCCAAGCAGGUGACUCCAUACUUUUGUGCCUGAGCAACAUGCAUGACAGAGACAUAGUUUGGAUUCACUGUGGUCUUUAAAGCAGUAUUCACUGUAGUUCUACAGAGACAAAGUACAGAGGAGCUCUACCACGGGCUAAUGCAACCAGCACUUCAUCCUUACUGCUGGGCAUUUGUGGUAACAUCAGACACACUGAAAGAAACACAGAAGCAUUGGCACCUCAAUUUCCACACCAAAAAACCUAUGCCAUACACACAAAAAAGAUAUGAAAACCAGAACAUAUAUUCCAACAAAAGACAAAUCCACAUGCAGCUUACCUGAACUUAAGCACUGGUGCAAAAAUGCAUCUCAUCCCACAUUCAGUAAAAGGUUGAGCUGCAGGUGUGAAUCACAUAGGUGACUGCAAGGGCAGAUUACAAAUGGGCACAUGUUGAGGCUGUGGUUUUGCACCACAUAUGUAAUAAGAGUGCAGUUUGCACAGAACGGUGUGAAAUUUUGCCAGUGCAACUUAAUCCAGGUUGGUUGUUUGAAUGGAAAAGAGACUGCAGGGAAUGUAGACCAACAUCUAAUACAUCCAGUGAUGAGCAGGGAAGAAGAUUUUAAGUGGGGGAGAAAAAAACCAAACACAACCUCAUGUUUUAUAUUUUAGAAGAAGUCUUCAUUCUCAAAACCAUUCAGGAAAUCCUGCUGGACAUAUAACCAUAGACUCCCUCACUCUUUUUACAAGAGGUUUUAAAAUACCUCAGUAGUUAUUUAUGAACCAAACAAUAAUUCAGGACAAAUGUCCAUUGCCAGUCAGACCCUAAUCUUGCCUACAUACAAAACCUAACUGUAAACCCACUCAAGAAUAGGCCAGUGAUGGCUGUCAGACUACAUCUGGGAACAGAAGAUGUGCCCUGGUAACAACAUCCCCAGACCUACCUCAGCAGUACUGCCUUGGUGCAGCAGCAACAGUCUCCUGGCUCCAUGGUGGAUGAAAGCCUGAUGCUAACCCCAAACUCGAACAUAACAUGAGGCCUGGCUCUACUAUGAGCUGUGAAGUGAUCACACGGUGAUUCAUGACCACUGCUAGUCCCAAACCUUCUCACAUCUAUAUGAUCUACUUCAGCUACAAGACUAAAACUGGAUUAACAAACACUUGCAAUUCAGGGAAAAUGCUCAGCACUGUGUUUAUAGUGAGAAUUGGGGUUAGAGAUAGGCCUAGGACAACAUGAGGAUAACUGAUGGCUUCCUGAGAGGUGUCCUAUCUAGAUAUGGAAUUAAUAUGAUGGAAGCAUGUACUGAAAAGCCUGACAGAGCCGACCGUUUUUAUCUACUAUUUUGUAUAGUAGGUUUGGAUUUGGGGUUAAAGUGUGAAGCAUGAGUUAUGACUGGAUCUAAUUGGGUUUGCUUAGGUUUACAACCCUUGCUAUGUUAGUCUUUUACUUCAGCAUUAAUUAGACGUGCUGUCAGGAUAAUGUAUCAUUUGAUGACAAAUGCUGAUGAACUUGAGUAAGCAAAUUUUUAGAACAAGAGCUGGGCUAAGGUGGUAAUGGGACCAGCCCAGACCUCACAGCCACCAGACACAUGUCAGUUCUAGCUGUGGCAGCUACUUCUGAGGGAAAAUAAAAACAGAGAAAAUACAAAAGAUUAAAGGAGAACUCUGCCCAGAGUCAGCUGGGAAAAGCAGCAUCAAGGUCCCAGACCACAGUCAUCCUCUGGGACUCUCUCCAGAGCAGCAGCUGGUGAGCAUGAGAAUGAUUUUCAAGAUGCUUUUCCUCUUGUAGACUUUAUUUUCCAUUGGGACCCAUUCAAACUCUUCAUUGAGAGUUCCUGUUUAUGAUGGUAUUGGUGCCGAUCAGAGUGCGCUAAUCAAACACAAAUGUUUCAACACUGGCAAUAAUAAUUACUAUUGCCUACUUUGUUGUGCACUGUUUGGUUUUCUCCAAUACAAAUUAGCAUUUACAAACCAAAAGGCAAAGAAAAAGAGGGGAGAGGAGGUCAAUUCCCCCAGCAGGGAAGCUACUUCCCAUGAGGACCUGUCUUGACAACUUUGCCAGGAUUUGCAGGUGCAAGGACAUGAAAAUAACAGCACAAGAACAAUAGCAUAAAAACAAUUAAAGAAAAAUAUUGCCAAAGGGAGUCUGGAAAACACUGUCUGAAUGACUUCAGGAGAAGAUUUUGGAGCUGCAAAUGGCAGGCCCUUAGUGUUAUGAAGACUAGUGCAAUGGGGUACUUAAGGCAGCACACGUGUGAGACAAGUACUGUUUUGUAGCAGGGUGACAAGCCCUGGAAAUGUCCGUGGAUCUCCCUGAGGGCUCCCAAGCCUUUACAAGAACAGACUGUCAGUAAGGGAUAUAAACAGCAUUCUGCUGCAGCAGGCAGGGAGGGACCUGUAGGUCUGUGAUGGGUCAGAAACAGUUCAUUCUAGUAGAUCAAGGAUUUUCUGAAUUGGGCCAGGCUAGCUUAGAUGUAGGUAUUCCCAAAGAAGUCCCUAAGGGCUUCUUCAGUACUUACUCCUGAGCCUAGCAGGCGUCACUGCUCCUGACCAAAAGGCAGGCUGGAUUUGGGUGUUUCAUUGAGACUGGAAUGGGUCAGUGGGUUAUAUCUAGGGACUGCUGACAUUUUCUUUCCAGGGAUUUAAUCUUCAUCUGGUUUUCCUUUAAAAAAAGAAAUUAAAAGAAAAUAAAAUCAAUCUAGG